AAAGAAACUAACAAGGAUUCCCCUAGUAACGGCGAGUGAAGCGGGAACAGCUCAAAUUUUAAAUCUGGCUGCUUCGCAGUCCGAGUUGUAAUUUGAAGGCGUCUGUCGCAUGUGAGACGAUGGCACAAGUCCUCUGGAACGUGGCAUCGUAGAGGGUGAGAAUCCCGUCUCUGGUCGUUGUCUUGCAGGCACACGGCAGGCGAUCCGAAGAGUCGAGUUGUUUGGGAUUGCAGCUCCAAAUGGGUGGUAAACUCCAUCUAAGGCUAAAUAUUGGCGAGAGACCGAUAGCGAACAAGUACCGUGAGGGAAAGAUGAAAAGAACUUUGAAAAGAGAGUAAAACAGUACGUGAAAUUGUUGAAAGGGAAACGCUUGAAGUCAGUCGUGCCGGCGGGGAUUCAGCGAACUUCGCGGAGUGAGCGUAUUUCCUCGCAUGGCAGGUCAGCGUCAGUUUUGCGCUUCGUGAAAGGGCUCGGGUAAGGUGACUCUCUUCGGGGAGUGUUAUAGGCCUGAGCAGAUGCGAUGCGCGGGACUGAGGAUUGCAGCGGACACCCUUCGGGGCGCGGCGACCGAUCCCUGCUCUGUCACCUUCGUCCGAUAGCGUGCUAACGGUCGGGGGAGCGGCGGUUGCACCGGGUUGGCAAGCCGGCGGCUUCGCUAAGGAUGCUGGCGUAAUGGCUUUAAACGACC
rnacentral:rRNA from 1 species